rnacentral:tRNA from 1 species
AGGUAAUUAGUUUAAUUAAAACAUUUGAUUUCGGCUCAAAAGCUUUUGGUUAAAGUCCAUAAUUAGCCU